rnacentral:rRNA from 1 species
CCUACGGGAGGCAGCAGUGAGGAAUAUUGGUCAAUGGACGAGAGUCUGAACCAGCCAAGUAGCGUGAAGGAUGACUGCCCUAUGGGUUGUAAACUUCUUUUAUAUGGGAAUAAAAUGUUCCACGUGUGGGAUUUUGUAUGUACCAUAUGAAUAAGGAUCGGCUAACUCCGUGCCAGCAGCCGCGGUAAUACGGAGGAGCCGAGCGUUAUCCGGAUUUAUGGGGUUUCAAGGGAGCGUAGGUGGAUUGUUAAGUCAGUUGUGCAAGUUUGCGGCUCAACCGUAAAAUUGCAGUUGAAACUGGCAGUCUUUAGUACAGUCGAGGUGGGCGGUAUUCGUGUUGUAGCGGUGACAUGCUUAGAUCUCACG